rnacentral:rRNA from 1 species
GAUGAACGCUGGCGGCGUGCCUAAUACAUGCAAGUCGAGCGAAUGGAUUAAGAGCUUGCUCUUAUGAAGUUAGCGGCGGACGGGUGAGUAACACGUGGGUAACCUGCCCAUAAGACUGGGAUAACUCCGGGAAACCGGGGCUAAUACCGGAUAACAUUUUGAACCGCAUAGUUCGAAAUUGAAAGGCGGCUUCGGCCGUCACUUAUGGAUGGACCCGCGUCGCAUUAGCUAGUUGGUGAGGUAACGGCUCACCAAGGCAACGAUGCGUAGCCGCCCUGAGAGGGCGAGCGGCCACACUGGGACUGAGACACGGCCCAGACUCCUGCGGGAGGCAGCAGUAGGGAAUCUUCCGCAAUGGACGAAAGUCUGACGGAGCAACGCCGCGUGAGUGAUGAGGGCUUUCGGGUCGUAAAACUCUGUUGUUAGGGAAGAACAAGUGCUAGUUGAAUAAGCUGGCACCUUGACGGUACCUAACCAGAAAGCCACGGCUAACUACGUGCCAGCAGCCGCGGUAA